AUUGAACGCUGGCGGCAUGCUUUACACAUGCAAGUCGAACGGCAGCACGGGGGCAGCCCUGGUGGCGAGUGGCGAACGGGUGAGUAAUACAUCGGAACGUGCCCGGUCGUGGGGGAUAACGUAGCGAAAGUUACGCUAAUACCGCAUACGAUCUGAGGAUGAAAGCGGGGGACCUUCGGGCCUCGCGCGAUCGGAGCGGCCGAUGUCAGAUUAGGUAGUUGGUGGGGUAAAGGCCUACCAAGCCGACGAUCUGUAGCUGGUCUGAGAGGACGACCAGCCACACUGUGACUGAGACACGGCCCAGACUCCUACGGGAGGCAGCAGUGGGGAAUUUUGGACAAUGGGCGCAAGCCUGAUCCAGCCAUUCCGCGUGCAGGACGAAGGCCUUCGGGUUGUAAACUGCUUUUGUACGGAACGAAAAGGCUCUGGCUAAUACCUGGGGCUCAUGACGGUACCGUAAGAAUAAGCACCGGCUAACUACGUG
rnacentral:rRNA from 1 species